rnacentral:rRNA from 1 species
GAUGAACGCUGGCGGCGUGCCUAAUACAUGCAAGUCGAGCGAACAGACGAGGAGCUUGCUCCUCUGACGUUAGCGGCGGACGGGUGAGUAACACGUGGAUAACCUACCUAUAAGACUGGGAUAACUUCGGGAAACCGGAGCUAAUACCGGAUAAUAUAUUGAACCGCAUGGUUCAAUAGUGAAAGACGGUUUUGCUGUCACUUAUAGAUGGAUCCGCGCCGCAUUAGCUAGUUGGUAAGGUAACGGCUUACCAAGGCAACGAUGCGUAGCCGAGCUGAGAGGGUGAUCGGCCACACUGGAACUGAGACACGGUCCAGACUCCUAAGGGAGGCAGCAGUAGGGAAUCUUCCGCAAUGGGCGAAAGCCUGACGGAGCAACGCCGCGUGAGUGAUGAAGGUCUUCGGAUCGUAAAACUCUGUUAUUAGGGAAGAACAAAUGUGUAAGUAACUAUGCACGUCUUGACGGUACCUAAUCAGAAAGCCACGGCUAACUACGUG